GUCACUGGCACUUAAGAAGCCAUCUCCAUACUAUCGGUAUUGCGGACAACCCGGAAUGCCGAUGGUGCUGUGAGGAGGAUGAAACCGUUGACCAUGUAGUCGGGGAGUGCCCAGCACUCACGCGCGCCAGGUUCAAAUACUUGGGUAACACUUUCAGUGUACCGAGCGACUUUAAGUCCUUCAGACCAGAGAGCCUUAUAGGUUUCUCUAAGGGCGUUGGGCUCUGGUAAACCCCGGUGGGGCAUGACAGGUCCAUCAGGAGACCUAUAUGCACAACUGCCUUGGCAGCCCACUGUUUCGUCAAUUCAAGCAUUAUUAAAGAAAGCCUUAAGGCUCUUAAAAAAACAUCUAUCUAAAGGUUGGAGAAACUGUGUAGUAUGACUAGGCAGGCAAAGAGGAAUAACACCAUGUUCAUCAGCGUAUUCAAGCAUCUCUGAUGAGCUGCAAUGGCUAGCAUGCCCAUCCAGUAGAACUUUUCCUUGCGGUUUACGUGGUAUAAAUUGAUUUUUUAGCCAAGCAAACAUUAUAUCAGUGUUAAUGUAAGCUGAUUUUUCAUUCAUAUAAACAGUGGAGCCAGGGGGCAUUCCAUCUUAAUUUUUUUCUCAUUUUCGAUACCAAGAACACAAGGUGGACCAAGAGCUCGUUUCUGAAAAUCAUUGUUUUUGAAGCGCCUGCGAAAUGUUGGUGGUGGAAUGUUGUUAAAAUUACGGCAUGCCUCUCUGAUACCCAUAACACCAUUUCUGACAGCUUCUGCAGCAUUGACUAAAUCUUCAGUCCAGUUUCCUCUUUGCACUGAACUUGUAUACUUAAAUGCCAAUUUUAGACAUAGAUUUUUGUAAGGAUUAAACAAAAAAAUUAUUUUUUUUUCCGGGAUAGAUGGCCCAUGGGCCAACUAACCCAUUUAGUAGUUGGGCCAUCUAUCCCAAAAGUCAGGGUGUGAGAUGACCCACUAAAUAUUUCCUAAGAUUUAUUAAAUUUUAGAGGUACGGGUGCAUUAACAAAUCCUCAAAAAUGUACAAACCCAAAAGGAGUAACAAAAACUUGAAAAAAAAACAAAAUUUUUUAAAAAAAAACUAUACAUUACUUUUAAGGUUAAAUAUUUUUAAUGCUUGUAAAAUAUUUUUAUUACCUUAAAGUGUAGAAAAAAACCGCAAACCUGGAUCACGACAUAUACAGCACGUUGAAUAGGAUGUGUCUAAAGCUACAGUGCCGUAAAUCAAAUAUAUUUAGGAAAUAUUAGAAAGAGCCAUCUCACCUGGCGGGCCAUCUCUCCCGGAAUUACCCUAUAGCACUAUUUUUAGAAGUACAGUGAAAUUCCUCUUAGCGGACAGCUCUCAAUACUGGACAUGUCCUAUUAAUGGACAGUAUUUUUUGUCACGAGAUUUUAAAGAACAAUUUCCUAUAAAAUAAAUUCUCAUUAGCGGACGCUCUGUCGGACGGACAAGGACAAAAAUGUUCAACCCCAAAACGCGCAAAAUUCCCCAACAACGGACACGGAUCUUCGAAAGCGGACAAAAAUGACCGUUACGGUACUCCAGGAAAAAAAUCACGCCACUUUAGUAUCCACGUAUGUAUUGUUUUAGUACCGUCUUGUAAUUGAAGCAGGUGACAUGGCGCCCGUUAGAAACUUUUUAACGCUGAGGCAAAAAAUGGAGGUUGUAAAUAUUGCAGAACAGGAAAGUUUAAAUGUCCGUAAACUGGGAGAAAGGUUUAAUAUAAGUAAAAGUCAAGCGGCGGAGAUUGUAAAAAA